UUGAAAGGGAAACGAUUGAAGUCAGUCGUACCAGCGGGAAAUCAACCUUUCGAGUGGGNUUUUGGAGUUUUGAAGAGUGUCAAAACCUUUUGAGAUUUCAAAAUAUUCGCUCUUUUGGUGUACUUUCUCGUGGGUAGGUUAACAUCGAUUUUGAUCAUCAUAAAAAGAUUGGAGGAAUGUAGCUUCGAUCUUGUAUUGAAGUGUUAUAGCCUUUGGUAAAUGUGAUGAUUAGGAUCGAGGAUUGCAACGAAUACCCUUUUGGGCUAUCCGCCUGAUCUCUGAUACGUGGCCUUGGUAUCGAAAGCGUGCUUAUGGUAUUGAGGUAUUACGGUCAAAAGGUUAGAACGGAUUACAUUCGUUAAGGAUGUUGACGUA
rnacentral:rRNA from 1 species